AGCUUUGCACAGUGGCAGUAUUGUAGCCAACGAGGUUUAUCCGAGGCGUGAUUAUUGCUAAUCGAAAACUUUUCCCAAUACCCUGCCGUGGCAAUUUUUAGCUUUUUAAAUAGAAUGUUAAUAAA
rnacentral:snRNA from 1 species